CCAGACUCCUACGGGAGGCAGCAGUGGGGAAUAUUGGACAAUGGGGGGAACCCUGAUCCAGCGACGCCGCGUGAGUGAAGAAGUAUUUCGGUAUGUAAAGCUCUAUCAGCAGGGAAGAAAGAAAUGACGGUACCUGACUAAGAAGCCCCGGCUAACUACGUGCCAGCAGCCGCGGUAAUACGUAGGGGGCAAGCGUUAUCCGGAUUUACUGGGUGUAAAGGGAGCGUAGACGGCAGUGCAAGUCUGAAGUGAAAGGCGGGGGCCCAACCCCCGGACUGCUUUGGAAACUGUGCUGCUGGAGUGCAGGAGAGGCAAGUGGAAUUCCUAGUGUAGCGGUGAAAUGCGUAGAUAUCAGGAGGAACACCGGCGGCGAAGGCGGCCUGCUGGACCGUAACUGACGUUGAGGCUCGAAAGCGUGGGGAGCAAACAGGAUUAGAUACCCUUGUAAAA
rnacentral:rRNA from 1 species